UUUGGCACUGUAUAGGCUCCAA
rnacentral:miRNA from 1 species